rnacentral:rRNA from 1 species
UACGAAGGGGGCUAGCGUUGUUCGGAAUUACUGGGCGUAAAGCGCGCGCAGGCGGCUAUCCAAGUCAGUGGUGAAAGCCCGGAGCUCAACUCCGGAACUGCCAUUGAAACUGUUUAGCUUGAGGACGAGAGAGGUGAGUGGAAUUCCCAGUGUAGAGGUGAAAUUCGUAGAUAUUGGGAAGAACACCGGUGGCGAAGGCGGCGAGCUGGGCCAUGUCUGACGCUGAGGCGCGACAGCGUGGGGAGCAAACAGG